UACGUAGGUGGCAAGCGUUGUCCGGAUUUACUGGGCGUAAAGGGAGCGUAGGUGGAUAUUUAAGUGGGAUGUGAAAUACUCGGGCUUAACCUGAGUGCUACAUUCCAAACUGGAUAUCUAGAGUGCAGGAGAGGAAAGUAGAAUUCCUAGUGUAGCGGUGAAAUGCGUAGAGAUUAGGAAGAAUACCAGUGGCGAAGGCGACUUUCUGGACUGUAACUGACACUGAGGCUCGAAAGCGUGGGGAGCAAACAGG
rnacentral:rRNA from 1 species